CAGCGCCGCGGUAAUACGUAGGUGGCAAGCGUUGUCCGGAAUUAUUGGGCGUAAAGGGCUCGCAGGCGGUUUCUUAAGUCUGAUGUGAAAGCCCCCGGCUCAACCGGGGAGGGUCAUUGGAAACUGGGAAACUUGAGUGCAGAAGAGGAGAGUGGAAUUCCACGUGUAGCGGUUAAAUGCGUAGAGAUGUGGAGGCACACCAGUGGCGAAGGCGACUCUCUGGUCUGUAACUGACGCUGAGGAGCGAAAGCGUGGGGAGCGAACAGGAUUAGAUACCCGCGUAGUCCCUGUCUCUUAUACA
rnacentral:rRNA from 1 species